GGGACCAUGGGAAUGAUAGUUGGGAAGAA
rnacentral:piRNA from 1 species